CCUGUGGAGCGUCACAGCAAACGCGAGUAGCCUUAGCAAAAGCGGACGCGCUGAAGCAGGAA
ncrna:unclassified sequences RAGATH-18 RNA